AAUUUGUUUGUCAAAAAAAAAAUAAAAAAAUGAUCAAGUGACAGCUAACUUUAUAAUAUCAUCGACAACACUAUGCUUCUUCACCUACUGAUAUGACUGUCACCACGAACCACUACGAAUAGAGAGAGUUUAGUUGGGUACGCGUGCUACAUUACCGCCAAAAAUACACGUGGAUUGUCCUACAUCCACUAUCAACUUGUUCAGCUGCUGUAUUAAUAAUACAUGUCAUUAAAUAUUUAAAAGCAUCUACAUAAUUUAUAGCGUUUUACAAGCAUGAUGAGGCCACUUCUUCCGUUCUAGCUCCGGUGAGCAAGCGGAACAUUUAUAUUAUUAAAUAUUUUACUUGUACUUGUAAGUGUUUUAUGUGCAAUAAGAAAUAAAAAAUAAUUCAAUGCAAUCUGGCCGAAACUGGGUCAACUAUUAGGACUACUAUUUUCUGGGUCCGGUGGUGUAAAAUUCCCACUUGGAGUAAUCAUCCAGCUCAAUGUGCUAAAUAGUACAAUCAUUGCGCUAUAUCUGUAUUGACUUUCAAUUACUUAAACAUUAGCUUGAUUGAAGUUAAAAUAGGGCUGGGCAAUAACUCAGCUAUCAAUGUGUCUUGGAUCUCUUUUAAAUUACCAAGAUAGAAUCUGACCUUUUUUUUUCUUAUUAUGAUAAUUAUUCUCUGGUUUAAAAAAUAGAAUUUAAAUUG